GGAUGAACGCUGGCUGUGYGCCUAAUACAUGCAUGUCGAGCGAGGUUCUUUUGAACCUAGCGGCGAAUGGGUGAGUAACACGUGCUUAAUCUACCCUUUAGAUUGGAAUACCCAAUGGAAACAUUGGCUAAUGCCGGAUACGCAUGGAAUCGCAUGAUUCCGUUGUGAAAGGAGCCUUUAAAGCUCCGCUAGAGGAUGAGGGUGCGGAACAUUAGUUAGUUGGUAGGGUAAUGGCCUACCAAGACUAUGAUGUUUAGCCGGGUCGAGAGACUGAACGGCCACAUUGGGACUGAGAUACGGCCCAAACUCCUACGGGAGGCAGCAGUAGGGAAUAUUCCACAAUGAGCGAAAGCUUGAUGGAGCGACACAGCGUGCACGAUGAAGGUCUUCGGAUUGUAAAGUGCUGUUAUAGGGAAAGAACACCUGGUUGAGGAAAUGCUUCCAGGCUGACGGUACCCUGUCAGAAAGCGAUGGCUAACUAUGUGCCAGCAGCCGCGGUAAUACAUAGGUCGCAAGCGUUAUCCGGAAUUAUUGGGCGUAAAGCGUUCGUAGGCUGUUUAUUAAGUCUGGAGUCAAAUCCCAGGGCUCAACCCUGGCUCGCUUUGGAUACUGGUAAACUAGAGUUAGAUAGAGGUAAGCGGAAUUCCAUGUGAAGCGGUGAAAUGCGUAGAUAUAUGGAAGAACACCAAAGGCGAAGGCAGCUUACUGGGUCUAUACUGACGCUGAGGGACGAAAGCGUGGGGAGCAAACAGGAUUAGAUACCCUGGUAGUCCACGCCGUAAACGAUGAUCAUUAGUCGGUGGAGAGUUCACUGACGCAGCUAACGCAUUAAAUGAUCCGCCUGAGUAGUAUGCUCGCAAGAGUGAAACUUAAAGGAAUUGACGGGGACCCGCACAAGCGGUGGAGCAUGUGGUUUAAUUUGAAGAUACGCGGAGAACCUUACCCACUCUUGACAUCCUUCGCAAUGCUAUAGAGAUAUAGCGGAGGUUAACGGAGUGACAGAUGGUGCAUGGUUGUCGUCAGCUCGUGUCGUGAGAUGUUUGGUCAAGUCCUGCAACGAGCGCAACCCCUAUCUUUAGUUACUAACGAGUCAUGUCGAGGACUCUAGAGAUACUGCCUGGGUAACUGGGAGGAAGGUGGGGAUGACGUCAAAUCAUCAUGCCUCUUACGAGUGGGGCAACACACGUGCUACAAUGGUCGGUACAAAGAGAAGCAAUAUGGCGACAUGGAGCAAAUCUCAAAAAGCCGAUCUCAGUUCGGAUUGGAGUCUGCAAUUCGACUCYAUGAAGUCGGAAUCGCUAGUAAUCGCAGAUCAGCUACGCUGCGGUGAAUACGUUCUCGGGUCUUGUACACACCGCCCGUCACACCAUGGGAGCUGGUAAUACCCAAAGUCGGUUAGCUAACCUCGGAGGCGACCGCCUAAGGUAGGACUGGUGACUGGGGUGAAGUCGUAACAAGGUAUCCCUACGAGAACGUGGGGAUGGAUCACCUCCUUU
rnacentral:rRNA from 1 species